UGUGUAGGCGGCUUUUUAAGUUUGGUGUGAAAUCUCCCGGCUCAACUGGGAGGGUGCGCCGAAUACUGAAAGGCUCGAGUGCGGGAGAGGAGAGUGGAAUUCCUGGUGUAGCGGUGAAAUGCGUAGAUAUCAGGAGGAACACCGGCGGUGUAGACGGCUCUCUGGACCGUAACUGACGCUGAGACACGAAAGCGUGGGUAGCAAACAGGAUUAGAUACCCUGGUAGUCCACGCCCUAAACGAUGCACAUUUGGUGUGGGCAGUUCAUUCUGCCCGUGCCGGAGCUAACGCGUUAAAUGUGCCGCCUGGGGAGUACAGUCGCAAGGCUGAA
rnacentral:rRNA from 1 species